GCAACCUUUAAGAACAGCGUUGUUGAAGAGAGGCAUUCCAGUGAAGCAGAAGGUAGCCUUGUGGGAAAACUGAAGCAGGAAGCGUUAGCCCCCUUCUUUCAGAUUGAAAGGAUGAGGGAUAUUGCCUCCUGCAAACACUGAAUCAGUUUGGUUGCGGAACCAGCCUAGUCAUCCAGAGCCUAUGGUACGUUAGCUAUGCCACUUUGUUUCCAAGUUGGCUGCUGUCUCUGAUAUUAGAGACUCUGUCCUCUGUGAUAAAAUCAUUGAGGCUGUAGAUAGAGCUCUAUCAGUAGGGCAGCAAGAAAAUGUCUCUGCUGCAAAGUCUCUAAGCACAGGGUCUUAUAUAUAAGCUCUGUCAGCCAAAUCAACAGCUCCUCAGAUAUUGAUCUCAAUCUAGUCCAGCUGCAAUAGGACUGACUAUGGAAAUAGCCAUGUGAAAAUGUCCCACACUGGCAUGGCUAAGCCAAGGCUGACGCCCAUCUGAAAGCUGGGUGCACGGUCCAGACUGCAAUAGCAGAG
rnacentral:lncRNA from 1 species